GACGAACGCUGGCGGCGUGCUUAACACAUGCAAGUCGAACGGUGAAGCGCCUUCCUUUUUGGUGGGUGUGGAUGAGUGGCGAACGGGUGAGUAACACGUGAGUAACCUGCCCCCUUCUUCUGGAUAACCGCAUGAAAGUGUGGCUAAUACGGGAUAUUCUGGGUCUGUCGCAUGAUGGGUCUGGGAAAGAUAUUGUUUCGGUGGGGGAUGGGCUCGCGGCCUAUCAGCUUGUUGGUGGGGUGAUGGCCUACCAAGGCGGUGACGGGUAGCCGGCCUGAGAGGGUGGACGGUCACACUGGGACUGAGACACGGCCCAGACACCUACGGGAGGCAGCAGUGGGGAAUAUUGCACAAUGGGCGCAAGCCUGAUGCAGCGACGCCGCGUGAGGGAUGGAGGCCUUCGGGUUGUGAACCUCUUUCGCCAGUGAAGCAGGCCUGCCUCGUUUGUGGGUGGGUUGACGGUAGCUGGAUAAGAAGCGCCGGCUAACUACGUG
rnacentral:rRNA from 1 species